GUCAGGACUUCAAGAAGAGAUGGGAACGAAAGAACCAAACUGUUGAUAACUUAUUUGGGAAGGGUGACAGUUCAAAUUCUUGCUCAAGUUAUUCAAUGUCUGAUUUGAAGGAGCUCGAUUUUACUGCGAACUUGCUUUCGGAAUGGAAAGUAAGCUUUAUUUUUGUUUGUCAUAAUCAUCUUUAAUUGCUUGGUUGAGAUAUGUUCAAUCUUAUUCUUAUCAAACUGCAUCUCCAUGACUCAACUAUCAGAUGUUUUUUCCUAUCUAGCCAGCAUCCUCCAACUAUGUUCUGUAUUGAUGCCUUGUGAUUUUUGAUGUGAAGGACAUUAGGCAUUCGGAGAAUCCAUUCACAGGUACAAGCAAAGGUGAGGAUUCUUGAGGGAAAAGAAUAUGAAAUCAGGGAGCUCAAACUGAUGAAGGUCCUUCUUUGAAAUUAUCAACUUGAAUUGUAAGCUCAUUUUCUGAAGCAACAGAUACUGCACAUCAAGUGCUUGAUAUAAAUCCUUAAAAAAACAAAAUGGGGUAACUGUUCUCUAUAGCGUUCUCUAUAUAUUUCAGAAUUAUUAACUGCAUUGCGUGACCCUGAUGGUUUCAAUGGCAUCUUCUUGUCUUGGUUAUUGGUUCCAAAACUUCCUUGAAUGACGAUACUAGUUUAGUAGCUUUGUUAUGGACAGUUUAGUUAUCAUUUGAAGUCUCGAAUUAUGUCCCAGAUUUAUAGGUUUAGGUCAUGGAGCCCUUUGGAUUGUCUGUCACUAAUACUCUGCGAAAGAAAUGGUUAUAUACAUCAUCUAGUAUGAGAUACUGUGAUAAAUGGUAUAAUUUAUGAAAUCCAAUUGUAGUUUAUAUUCAGUGCUUGAUCUAUUCGAAGUGAUUAAGAAAGAAUGUGAUGAGAUAUGAGUAUUUUUCCUCAGGUAUACAUUCUGUCUAGAGAACCAUAGUUGAUGGUUGGUUAGAGGAGGCUCUAAUUGAUAAUCUUUAAUCCCUCUGGUAUGCAAAUUAUUAAUGACCAGCAGUGUAAGUUGGUUAGAGGAGGCUCUAAUUGAUAAUCUUGGAAUAUGAUACUGAACUGUAAGUGGGGUAUUUUUAAUCUUUGGUGCUUGUUGUAUUGUGUUGGACUUGUAGUCUUUUGACCCUUCCAAACAUCUAGAACCAGAAUUUAUUUUUUCUGUAGCUUCCCAAAUUAAGUGCCUAACGAAACCAUUAUUUUUGUAACUUUCUUUGCUGCAGGUAUUCCAUUACGAAGUGUUUGUUUAGUUCAUUUUACCGCUGGUGUAUCAAGUGUCGGGGGUUAGUUCAACACCAGUAAGUUUAUCAUUUUGCUGGUUUGCACUUUUCUUUAAGACACUUUGAAUUUACUAGGGCUGGUUGCUCUUAUCUUUAAGAAACCUUGAACUUAUUAGGAUUUGUAUCAGUAUGAAUUUAGAAUUUGAAUCCUUUUUUUGUAUGAUUUUGAAUCCAAGUGUAAACUGAAUGUAUUUAUAAGUUGUGUGAUGAAAACAAUGAAUGAUUAAUGGAAAGGUCAUUAUAAAUUUA